rnacentral:rRNA from 2 species
UGGGGGAUAACGUUCGGAAACGGACGCUAAUACCGCAUACGUCCUACGGGAGAAAGCAGGGGACCUUCGGGCCUUGCGCUAUCAGAUGAGCCUAGGUCGGAUUAGCUAGUUGGUGAGGUAAUGGCUCACCAAGGCUACGAUCCGUAACUGGUCUGAGAGGAUGAUCAGUCACACUGGAACUGAGACACGGUCCAGACUCCUACGGGAGGCAGCAGUGGGGAAUAUUGGACAAUGGGCGAAAGCCUGAUCCAGCCAUGCCGCGUGUGUGAAGAAGGUCUUCGGAUUGUAAAGCACUUUAAGUUGGGAGGAAGGGCAGUUACCUAAUACGUGAUUGUUUUGACGUUACCGACAGAAUAAGCACCGGCUAACUCUGUGCCAGCAGCCGCGGUAAUACAGAGGGUGCAAGCGUUAAUCGGAAUUACUGGGCGUAAAGCGCGCGUAGGUGGUUUGUUAAGUUGAAUGUGAAAUCCCCGGGCUCAACCUGGGAACUGCAUCCAAAACUGGCAAGCUAGAGUAUGGUAGAGGGUGGUGGAAUUUCCUGUGUAGCGGUGAAAUGCGUA